AAAAAGGGCUUCUGUUAUAAGUGCACACGUAGAGUGGCUCUGUUUGCGCUUUGUGCGGAAUCGACAGCACGAAAUUUCGGAAGCAUCAGUUUUUGACUUCUGGGCAGCUGGUGAUCAUUGAUCCUAGUGCCCUA
ensembl:snRNA